rnacentral:tRNA from 1 species
GCGCACUUUAUUAAACGGGNGGAUAGAGUACUUGACUACGAAUCAAGCGGUUAGAGGUUCGACUCCUCUUGGGCGCA